rnacentral:rRNA from 1 species
UGGCGGCGUGCUAUACAUGCAAGUCGAGCGGACAGAUGGGAGCUUGCUCCCUGAUGUUAGCGGCGGACGGGUGAGUAACACGUGGGUAACCUGCCUGUAAGACUGGGAUAACUCCGGGAAACCGGGGCUAAUACCGGAUGGUUGUUUGAACCGCAUGGUUCAAACAUAAAAGGUGGCUUCGGCUACCACUUACAGAUGGACCCGCGGCGCAUUAGCUAGUUGGUGAGGUAACGGCUCACCAAGGCAACGAUGCGUAGCCGACCUGAGAGGGUGAUCGGCCACACUGGGACUGAGACACGGCCCAGACUCCUACGGGAGGCAGCAGUAGGGAAUCUUCCGCAAUGGACGAAAGUCUGACGGAGCAACGCCGCGUGAGUGAUGAAGGUUUUCGGAUCGUAAAGCUCUGUUGUUAGGGAAGAACAAGUACCGUUCGAAUAGGGCGGUACCUUGACGGUACCUAACCAGAAAGCCACGGCUAACUACGUGCCAGCAGCCGCGGUAAUACGUAGGUGGCAAGCGUUGUCCGGAAUUAUUGGGCGUAAAGGGCUCGCAGGCGGUUUCUUAAGUCUGAUGUGAAAGCCCCCGGCUCAACCGGGGAGGGUCAUUGGAAACUGGGGAACUUGAGUGCAGAAGAGGAGAGUGGAAUUCCACGUGUAGCGGUGAAAUGCGUAGAGAUGUGGAGGAACACCAGUGGCGAAGGCGACUCUCUGGUCUGUAACUGACGCUGAGGAGCGAAAGCGUGGGGAGCGAACAGGAUUAGAUACCCUGGUAGUCCACGCCGUAAACGAUGAGUGCUAAGU